AGGAUGCUUUCACAGCUGGACUGGUUGAAAGACUUUGCUGCCCUGCUGUCAGCUAGCAGAAGGUUCCCUUUGGGUGAUGUGACAGAGAGCUCGCAGCACAAGUAAAGGAUCCCGUCACCACGGUGUUGAUGUCAGCGUCUGUUGCCUCCGCAGUGGUGCCAUAAAACCGCCGGAGCUUCUUUCGAAAGUGAAUGGUGAACAAGCCGUAGAUCACGGGGUCCAGGCAGGCAUUGAGCAGCCCGAAGAUGAACAAAAUGUGGGUCAAGGAGUGGGACACUUUUCCCUCCAGGUCAUCAGGAAAGAACCAGUACCACAAGCCCAGCAGGAUAUCAGCGUGGGAAACGUGAAAAAAAAGUGUCUCCUCCACCGAACAAUCAAGCAGAAAUCACUGAAUUUGAUUGUUUUGAGCAGUUUCUAGGUGAGUGUGAGUUACUUUAUCUGUGUAAACAGGCCCACAUGGAGUAAUAAGAUAGCAAAUCCCUCAUGAGAAAAAAAGAAAAACAAUAGUAUGAAGAACCUGGAUGUUUCUGUAAGGCUUAUUUUGAUCAGAAUUGUCCGUUUUUUUCAUGCAGUGCAUGUCUUCUGUUGGUAAAAUCACCUUUUGUAUUGGAUGGAGCUUAUUUGAUCAUGGUCUUGUUCAAAGGUAUAUUAAAAAAGGUUAAUAUUUCCUUUAAAAUGUGUCCUUUA